UACGUAGGGGGCAAGCGUUGUCCGGAAUCAUUGGGCGUAAAGCGCGUGUAGGCGGCUCGAUAAGUCUGCUGUGAAAGUCCAGGGCUCAACCCUGGAAGGCCGGUGGAAACUGUCGGGCUAGAGUCCGGAAGAGGCGAGUGGAAUUCCCGGUGUAGCGGUGAAAUGCGCAGAUAUCGGGAGGAACACCAAUGGCGAAGGCAGCUCGCUGGGACGGUACUGACGCUGAGACGCGAAAGCGUGGGGAGCGAACAGG
rnacentral:rRNA from 1 species